GCUGGGGUGGCAGAACGGCUAAUGCAACAGUCUCGAAAACUGUCGCCUGAAAGGGCUUCCAGGUUCAAAUCCUGGUCCCAGCG
rnacentral:tRNA from 1 species